UGAGAUAUAGCUCAGUGGUACAGUGCUUAUCUAGUAUUUAUGAGGCUCUGGGUUUGAUUCCCAGCAUGGCAA
rnacentral:tRNA from 1 species